GACCCAGUAGCGGAGGGUCCGCGCCCGCCUGUGUAGAAAAAGAAAUAUGCAAUCAUCUUUGUCCAGCGAGAGUUCCUGGUUCGACUCCAGGCUGGGUUA